GACGAACGCUGGCGGCGUGCCUAAUACAUGCAAGUGGGACGCAAGGAAACACACUGUGCUUGCACACCGUGUUUUCUUGAGUCGCGAACGGGUGAGUAACGCGUAGGUAACCUGCCUAUUAGCGGGGGAUAACUAUUGGAAACGAUAGCUAAUACCGCAUAAUAUUAAUUAUUGCAUGAUAAUUGAUUGAAAGAUGCAAGCGCAUCACUAGUAGAUGGACCUGCGUUGUAUUAGCUAGUUGGUAAGGUAAGAGCUUACCAAGGCGACGAUACAUAGCCGACCUGAGAGGGGGAUCGGCCACACUGGGACUGAGACACGGCCCAGACUCCUACGGGAGGCAGCAGUAGGGAAUCUUCGGCAAUAGACGAAAGUCUGACCGAGCAACGCCGCGGGAGUGAAGAAGGUUUUCGGAUCGUAAAGCUCUGUUGUAAGUCAAGAACGUGUGUGAGAGUGGAAAGUUCACACAGUGACGGUAGCUUACCAGAAAGGGACGGCUAACUACGUG
rnacentral:rRNA from 1 species